rnacentral:lncRNA from 10 species
GGGACCCAGUGGGAGGUAAUUGAAUCAUGGGGGUGGGUCUUUCUCAUGCUGUUCUCACGAUAGUGAAUAAGUCUCACAAGAUCUGAAGGUUAUAUAAAGAGAAGUUCCCUACACCACUUCUGUCUUUGCCUGCUGCCAUCCACGUGAUAUGUGACUUGCUGCUCCUUGCCUUCUGCCAUAAUUGUGAGGCCUCCUCAGCCACACGGAAAUGCUUAUAGGCAUAAGAGACUUGCCUUGUCUCAGAUGAAACUUUGGACUGUGGACUUUUGAGUUAAUGCUGAUAUUAGGACUCUGCUUACCCUUUGUGAAUAAGCCCAGUGAAUCUGCUGAGUGAUGAGAGAGAGAGUGGGCCAGUCACUUCAUUGCUCCAGGUGGUUAUGUUGAAGAUGUAAAUAUUCUCCCUGCUGUGAGUAUUACUGCAGCUGCCCAAAGAUGCUUUAUUUUAAAGAUGUGGAUACAGGAAGAUAAAAGCAUCAGAAACACUGCAUGGGAAAAUCAUUCAGACUGCAGCUUCCUGGUUUUAGACAUCCCCACUGGCAAUUGGGACAUCUAUUUUGGAGAUGUAAUUGAAAAGACUGAAGAAUGUACUGAGGACCUUCUGGCUGAUAGAAGCUGACAAAGAAGCCAAGAUUGGUGAAGAUUUCUGCAAUACCUGAGUUUCUAAUCACAACAACAAAAAUGACCUGGAUAGAAAACCUUGGAGAUAGUAAUUGAUGGGCAUCACGUAGCUGGUUGCUGGAGAAACACUGAAGCAGAACUUGUAAUAUCUUCAAAACAAGUGAAGGCCAGGAAUCAGAAAUGCUUCUGAAGGUCAGCUGCCUCUCCAGCCAUCUAUGAAGAGCUAUGGUUCUGAAUCCUGGCUAAUAUCAGAAUCAUCCUGGGAGCUUUUGAAAAUCCUGAUGCUCAAGUCACACUCCAUACUCAGACAAGAAGCUGAGUCUCAGAGAGAGAAAAUGACUCAUCCAAGCAAGGUUUGAGACCUAAGAAAGGUUGUGUAAGCAGAAGCUGGAAGACCCUUGAAAAGAGCAUUCAUUCAAGAAAUGAAGCAUGAGAUAGGAUGGAAGGAGGGAAGAAAGACAAGCAUAUGGCAUAUCAGGUCUCUUCCAGUGCUAAAGGCUGCCUAUGAUACUCAUCUGACCUGAUUUCUCCUGCACAGUGUUGCAACUGACGAGUAGCAGACUUGCCCUUGCCUGCAUUUGGGGGGAUGGCUGAGACUUUCCUUACAGAAAGCCCUACUUUCAGCAUGAACACUAACCCAGUUUAUUGGCUCAGGGUGUAGAGAGUUGCCUUGUCACUGGCGAAGUCAGAUGCAGCCAGUACCAGAGCUCUGCACUAGCUGUGAACACUAAGGAAGAAUAGCUGAGUGAGGAAGCAGAGUGCCAGGCAGCACAUCCUUCUUCAGGUGUUUCCUGCCCUGGGCCAGAUCCCAGGCACUGCAGCAAUAUCUCUGCAUGAUCUAGGGCUCCUGGAAAUAGCCCAUUAAGGGCAAAACUCGCUGCCCAGAAAACAUUAGAACAUUAAAAGAGCAGGGUCUCAUCUGAUUGUCUUGGUUUCCUGAGGCUCAUUCAGUCUGUGUCCACUGGUUUCAGUCUGAGUUCUCUGCACUUUGAGGAUGCAGACAGUGAAGUUCUCCCAUGGUUAUAGGGGGAGAGAUCAUAGGAAUGCUAUGGAAAGAGGCCUGAAGUCAGAGCCAGCUAGUGGUUAUUAUUUAUUAAUUGCCUGUGAGGUGCCAGGCGCACAUAUUAGACCAUAUGUGAUUGCAGUGAGCCACCCGGAUCCCCUUCAAGCUGCUGCUGCAGCUGAUGGAAGUCCUAUUGGCAGACAGCCUUCUCUCAUCAGCCCCUUCAGGACUUGCCUCAGUUGCAGAGAGCUGCCUUCCCCAAGAUCACACCCUUCCCUGGGGACUCACAACCAAUGGCUGAUCCAGAAGAAUCCAUAAAGCCCGUAUCAUUUCAGCCCAAUUUAGGACAGCUUUGUUGAGCCAUUAGACCUACAUGCAGCCCAACCUCUCCUUCUACCCACUUCUUCUUUCUUCCCUUUCCUUCCACGGUGUCUGUUCCAAGCACUUGCCUUAAUAAACAUGUAACAGGUUAAACUCUGUCUCGAUGUCUGCUUCAAGGAGAACCCAACCUGUGACAGUGAUAACAGAUAAAAACAAAGGACAUCACUUUUCCCUGCCUUACUUUCCAUUUACCACUAAAAAGGGUCUUGGACUUGCCCACUCAGUUUCUUCUCUUUCUUCACUCUUUGGAGAUGGUCCCUCCACUACCACAGACACAAAAAAGAAGAGUUGGGAAGAGAGAGGGGUGAAAACAUUUGGGGCACUGCAGGCCUAGUGCUAGGUGACUGAAGACUACCUGGAGGGUGCAGGAAGUGACUGUUUCUCCAUCAUGUAUUGUAUUGCUAUAGUGACUUAAAAAACAAGUAGGUGAUUUGUGUUUUUUUGGUUUUUUUUUGUUUUUUUGGUUUUUUUUUUGAGACAGAGUCUCGCUCUGUCACCCAGGCUGGAGUGCAGUGGCGCUAUCUUGGCUCACUGCAAGCUCCACCUCCUGGGUUCAC